rnacentral:rRNA from 1 species
UACAGAGGGUGCAAGCGUUAAUCGGAAUUACUGGGCGUAAAGGGUGCGUAGGUGGUGAGAUAAGUUAGUUGUGAAAGGCCUGGGCUUAACCUAGGAAUUGCAUCUAAUACUGUCUUGCUAGAGUACUGUAGAGGAAGGUGGAAUUUCCGGUGUAGCAGUGAAAUGCGUAGAUAUCGGAAGGAACAUCAGUGGCGAAGGCGGCCUUCUGGACAGAUACUGACACUGAGGCACGAAAGCGUGGGGAGCAAACAGG